AAUGGCUCCAGUUCCGAGGGCAGCAUGGCAGCACGGUGGCUGGCAUCCUUGGCUCCAUUUAUGAGCACCAUAAUCUUGAGAGAGUCGCUCGACCUCCCUGGGCUGCAGCUUCCUGUUCUGGAACAGCUGCUUUUUCUAGAAGUGGCCAAGCACAGGAUGGAUCCAGAAUUACGACGGAGAAGCCCCUGUGGGGGUCACUGGACCGGCUGACCAGCAAGGCACUCUCUAAGGUGGAGAUGGCAAGCACAUGAGGCAGGAGAGCCAAGGAUUUCUGUCAACUACGAAAGCUACCUCAGCAACGGAGAUGUCAACUCAGGAGCCAAACUGCCAUCUCUGUUUUAAUUGGAGCCUGCUCUGUGAAGGUUGUGAAAGGGAUAAGAGAGAAGACUGGAGAGAGAGAGAGAGAGAGAGAGAGAGAGAGAGAGAGAGAGAGAGAGAGAGAGAGAGAGACUAUGAAUCAGCACUAAAGGAC
ensembl:lncRNA